UACAGAGGUCUCAAGCGUUGUUCGGAUUCAUUGGGCGUAAAGGGUGCGUAGGCGGCGCGGUAAGUCGGGUGUGAAAUCUCGGGGCUUAACUCCGAAACUGCAUUCGAUACUGCCGUGCUUGAGGACUGGAGAGGAGACUGGAAUUUACGGUGUAGCGGUGAAAUGCGUAGAUAUCGUAAGGAAGACCAGUGGCGAAGGCGAAUCUCUGGACAGUUACUGACACUGAGGCACGAAGGCCAGGGGAGCGAACGGG
rnacentral:rRNA from 1 species